rnacentral:tRNA from 1 species
ACCGCUGUAGCUCAGCGGAUAGAGCGACUUUCUGACGAAAAUGUAGGUCGCGGGUUCGAGCCCCGCCAGUGGUA